rnacentral:rRNA from 1 species
AGCCCUUAGCCAAUCAAGUAUUAAAGGUAACGCCUGCCCAGUGAGAAACUUUUCUUAAACGGCCGCGAUACAACCGUGCAAAGGUAGCGAAAUCAUUUGUCUCCUAAAUAGAGACCAGUAUGAAAGGCCUCAUGAGAAAGAAACUGUCUCUUGAAGAUAGCCAAUGAAACUAAUCUGCCUGUGCAAAAGCAGGCAUAAAAAAACAAGACAAAAAGACCCUGUGAAACUUAAAAAUUAUGUUAACAACAUGACAAUAUUUUUUGGUUGGGGCAACCUAAGAGAAACAAAACCUCUUAAACAAAUUAGACCAACAAGUCCAAUAAAUCAAAAUGACCCAGUAAAACUGACCAACGGACCAAGCUACUCCAGGGAUAACAGCGCCAAAUUCUUGAAGAGUCCACAUCAACAAGAAUUCUUACGACCUCGAUGUUGGAUCAGGAUACCCAAGUAGUGCAAAAGCCACUGACGGUUCGUUUGUUCAACGAUUAACAUCCU